UACGUAGGGACCGAGCGUUGUCCGGAAUCAUUGGGCGUAAAGAGCGUGUAGGCGGCUAUUUAAGUCCUGCGUGAAAUCCUGCGGCUCAACCGCAGACGGUCGUGGGAAACUGGAUGGCUAGAGUGCGGGAGAGGAGAGUGGAAUUCCCGGUGUAGCGGUGAAAUGCGCAGAUAUCGGGAAGAACACCCGUGGUGAAGGCGGCUCUCUGGAACGCAACUGACGCUGAGACGCGAAAGCGUGGGGAGCAAACAGG
rnacentral:rRNA from 1 species